CGAUAGUCUGAUAAUAACAGAAUCGGUCUGCUAUGUUGCUCGACAUCAUCUUCCCGAUGUCUUCGUUGUAUUUAUGAUCUACGUCCGUUGUUGGUCUUUCUCCUUCAUCGACAGAUAACAAAUGUGAUUUGCCAAAUCGAACCGACUAGAAACGAAUCUGCUUAUUCAGCGGAUGAGCUGACGCAUAUUCAACCGGCGGGAUCACCAAUAACAUAAGAAGCGCCAGAAUCCCCACCGGAAAGAACAUCAACAUCAUCGGCGGUGGCGGCAAUGGCGGAAGCAUUGGCGGCACAACCAGAAGCGACGCGGUUACGAUAAUAAAGAUAGAGAUCCUGCUUUGAGCUUCUGUUAAUGGAGAAGCGACCAUGGUUAUUUAAACAGUUGCAAAGAUGAGUGAGGAAUCAGAAGAGAAUCAAAAUGUUGAUAACAUCAAAUCCCGAUGCGAUACGUCGUGCAGAAGAUCUGUCUACCAAAUCAUCCUUUUUUUUUAAUCUUUUUUUCUAUUUGCAAAUCUUAUUAUAAUAUAAUAUGUAAAUAUAUCAUACACUGCACCUUCAAAAACUUCAAAUAUCAUAAGAUUUUGUCUUCGAUCA